GGGCUGGACUUUGAAAUGAGCCAAGGAUUGAGCCAGCAGUGAAGGCAGGAGGAGUUGUAAUAGAAGAAAUUUGGCUUCAAGUACAGCAGUGAAGAGCUGUCAAGGUGAGGAGUGUUAGGUGAGGUAGUAUAUUCAAGAGGUCACUCGUGCAACCAUGGGAAAGCAAAACAGCAAGCUUAAACCAGAGGUACUGGAAGAUCUUCGCUCCAAUACAGAGUUCACAGGUGAGCAGCUACACUGACGUAAUACAUUAUUUCAUAUUUAAAAU